AAGUUAGAAUUUUUAGUAUAAUUUUAUUAUUUUUAAUUGUUGAUUAAAAGAUUUUUAAAUUCUU
rnacentral:tRNA from 1 species